rnacentral:rRNA from 1 species
CCCUUAGAUGUCCUGGGCUGCACGCGCGCUACACUGAUGUGUCCAGUAAGCACCUAACCUCUUCCGAAAGGAACGGGUAACCUUUGCAAAGCACACCGUGAUGGGGAUAGAUUAUUGCAAUUAUUAGUCUUGAACGAGGAAUUCCUAGUAAGCACAAGUCAUCAGCUUGUGUUGAUUACGUCCCUGCCCUUUGUACACACCGCCCGUCGCUCCUACCGAUUGAAUGUUCCGGUGAGCUCUUCGGACUGCGCGGUCUGCAGUUUCUGCGUUCCGUGCGGAAAGUUGCGCAAACCUUAACAUUUAGAGGAAGGAGAAGUCGUAACA